rnacentral:tmRNA from 1 species
AAAUCCAUCUGGAAACUUACAAACGCCAACGACGAGCGUUUCGCUCUCGCCGCUUAACACCGGCGAGCCCUGCACCGGUCUGCCGAUGGGCCGGGUCGCGCAAGCGGCAGCAGGGUAAUCCACACCGGCUAAGGGUGCGCCCCGCCGCGCGGCGCACCACAAAAACCCAGCGGAUCGCCUGCAACCAGCCCGCCCGCCGGCGGGGAGCAGGUUAAAUCAAACGGCGCGGCUAAGUAUGUAGAACUGGCUGUAGAGGGCUUGCGGACGCGGGUUCGAUUCCCGCCGCCUCCACCA